AUUGAACGCUGGCGGCAUGCUUUACACAUGCAAGUCGAACGGUAACAGGUCUUCGGAUGCUGACGAGUGGCGAACGGGUGAGUAAUGCAUCGGAACGUGCCCAGUCGUGGGGGAUAACGUAGCGAAAGCUACGCUAAUACCGCAUACGAUCUAUGGAUGAAAGCGGGGGACCUUAGGGCCUCGCGCGAUUGGAGCGGCCGAUGUCAGAUUAGGUAGUUGGUGGGGUAAAGGCUCACCAAGCCAACGAUCUGUAGCUGGUCUGAGAGGACGACCAGCCACACUGGAACUGAGACACGGUCCAG
rnacentral:rRNA from 1 species